AUGGCGGCGGCGGCGGUGCGAUGUGCUGAGGAGCUGGUUGAGAGAGAGAUGAGCGGACGCGACGCCUCCCACGACGCCGCGCACGCGCUCCGCGUCCGGGACCUCGCGCUCUCCCUCGCCGCCGAGCAGGGCGUCUCCUCCCCCGACCGCCUCCUCAUCGUGGAACUGGCUGCUCUCCUGCACGACAUCGGUGAUUACAAGUACACCAAGGAUAAUGUGGAGGAUAUGAGCAUCGUCAAAAGGUUUCUUGAAGAGGUGGGGUUGGAGGAGGGACAGAGGGAGGAAAUAGUGGCCAUUAUUACAGGGAUGGGAUUCAAAAAUGAGGUUUCAAAGAAGCUUAAUGCGGAGCCCACUCUUGAGUUUGCAAUCGUGCAAGAUGCAGAUCGUCUGGAUGCAAUUGGUGCAAUUGGUGUCGCAAGAUGUUUUACAUAUGGAGGGAGCAAGAACAGUGCAUUGCAUGAUCCUAAUGUACUUCCGCGGGAUAAUUUGUCAAAGGAGAAGUACAUGUCCAAGGAGGAGAAACAAACAUCAAUAAAUCAUUUCCAUGAGAAGCUUUUUAAGUUGAAGGACAUGAUGAAAACAGAGGCUGGGAAAAAGAGAGCUGAGAAAAGGCACAAAUUCAUGGAGAAUUUUGUGGCUGAAUUCUAUGAAGAGUGGAGUGGCAAGGCUUGA
rnacentral:rRNA from 1 species